AUGUGUGCCUUUUGGGAUUUGAGAAUAUGUGUUUGUAUACUUCUAUUAUUUCAGUAGUAAAUUUGAGAAAAUGAAUAUAAAAUUCUGAUGAGAAAUUUAGAAUGUCCUUUUUGUAUAGUUAUUAUAAUUGCCAUGACUUUGGCCAGGUGUAGCUAAACGAUAUUUCAGGCAAAGAACUAAUAGCAAAGCUUUUUACACAGUAAUUUCCUGGGUAAGGUUCAACAAAAUGAAAACUCAUCAGAAGCCCUGCUGGGAUUCCAUCAGCAAGCAUUUAUUUGUAGUUGCAUGUACACCUGCUUACAUAGUAAUAAUACAUUAGUGAGUUAAGUCACUAUGCCAAUGCAAAUUAGCUUUAUUGUGAAUCUAACAUUGGAAUCUAGCAGAUAUGCUAACCAGACAAUCGAAUCGCUACUAGGUUAUGAGUUGGAAAAAAAAUUCUAUAGAAUUUGCCCAUUUGUUUCUUUUGAUUAUAGAUAUCUUUUUAUGAAAAACUUUUCCUUCUCUAGCUUCUACCAUUUAGAUGAGGAAUUUAUAGUAUAUGCCUUGCUCCAUUAGUGCAGCAAUAUUGAGCAAUAUAAGCAUGCCAUCUGCAAUACGAUGUUUUAACCCAAGAGAUCCCGUGUUGCUAAAUUCAAACUUAAAAUCAACUCAGCAAAUAUUUAAAGGAACAACUCUGUCAGGCAUUAUGCUAGGUGCUAGAGAUAGGGGCAGAACCUUAAAGGUGAGCAGCAAUACCUCCUGAUUCAAGAGAAUUCUGAAACAGUAGUGGAGAUAAGAUAAACACUCGUAAUACUCUAUGGCCAAGCACAAAAUUUGAAAACCACAAAAAAGCCAUAAGUUGAUAGAGAAGAGGAGUAAUGAACCCAAAGUCACUGUAAUCAGGAAAGGAGAUGUCUUGUCAGAUAGACAAGAUGUCUUGUCUAAUAGGAUUUAAAUACGUUAGUGAAGAUGGAAGAAGAUCAGUCCUUUAAUACGGUGGUUCCCACAUGGAGUAAAGGGAAAAACCUGGGCAAGAGGAAAGCAUGUUUGAGUAAACAACCAGGAGUUACGUUUAACUGAAGUGUUUUAUGCUGGAUCUACAUGGAGGCAGGGCAAGAUAAGCCUAGAAAGGGAAAAUCAUAUAAAAAAGAAGCAGACUCACAGAUAAAGAAAAUAAACUAGUGGUUACCAGUGAGGGGAGGAGAGGGAAGAAGAGCAAUACAGGGGUAGGGAAAAGGGGGCAAUCAUGGGAUUAUAGGAAAUCAUAUUUGUGAAACUUCUGAAAAUUAUAAAGCACUAUAGAAUUUAAAGAAUCUUUCAUACAAUUAAACAAAUCAAUUUAAAAAAAGAGCUUAUGUCAUGCAAGGCACUCACAGGUUGAGAAAUUAUGAAUUCAUUCUGUAGACAACAGUUUUUUAUUGAGAUUUUUUUCUGUUUUUUUUUUUUUUUUGAGUAAAGGGGUUAUGUGUUCAGAAUUUUUAGACUGUUAACUCAAAAUUUUGUAAGGACCCCUUUCUAGCCCAGAUAUACAUCAUUUCUUGCUGUAAAUAUUCUAGCUGUGUUUACUCAAAGAAACAUGAAAGAGAUUUAUACCAGCAUCAUCUGAAUUUGCUUAUUACAUGAAAUUAACCUUACCACUUAUUUUCUCACUCCUCUCUUUGGUGAUGUAUUGGUUUCCUAAGGCUGCUGUAUGAAGAACUACAAACUAGGUGGCUUUAAACAAUGGAAAUUUAUUCUCUCACAAUGUGGAGUCCAGAAGUCCAAAAUCAAGGUGUUGACAGGAUUGGUUCCUUGUGAAGGGCCUGAGAGAGAAUUUGUUCUGUGCCUCUCUUCUAGCGUCUGGUGACAACCAGCAAUCCUGGGCAUUCCUGAGCUUGUACUGCAUCAUUCCAAUCUCUGCCUCCAUCUUCACAUGGCAUUUUCCCCAGAUCUCUUUGUCCUAUGUCCAAAUGUUCCUCCUCUUCUUCUUUUUCUUUUUNUUUUUUUUUUUUUUUUUUUUUUUUUUUUUUUGUCUUUUUAGGGCCUCACUUGUGGCAUAUGGAAGUUCCCAGGCUAGGGGCUAAAUCAGAGAUACAACUGCCGGCCUAUGCCACAGCCACAGCAAAAUGCAAUUCUGCCGUGUCUGUGACCUACACCACAGCUCAUGGCAACUCUGGGUCCUUAACCCACUGAGGGAGGCCAGGGGUUGAACCAGCAUCCUCACAGAUACUAGUUGGGUUCUUUACUACUGAGCCACAAUGGGAACGCCCCAAAUUUUCCUCUUCUUAUAAGGAUAUCAAUUACAUUGGAUUAAGGCCCAUUCCAAAGACAGCAUCCAAACUUGAUUAAACCUGCAAAGACCGUAUUUUCAAAUAAAGUGACAUUCACAUGUGCUGAGGAUUAGUAUUUCAGAAUAUCUUUUUUUGGGAGGAGGCAAAAUUCAACCUAUUAUAGGUGGUUAAGCCAUAGAUAGAUAGAUAGAUAAUAGAUGAUAGGUAGGUAGAUAGAUAGAUAUGUAGUAAAGAAUUAAUAUUCUUAUCAACAAGCCUCAGUUUUUAUCUAUACAACAGAUAUAAUAAAACUGCCCUCAUAUGAUUGCUGUGAGGAUGAAAUAUGUGAACGAAUCUAGCAUGAGGCAGAAUUAGCUAUAUGGUUGAUGCUUGUAUUAAUAACUCAGGUAACUAUUUUCAGGUAGUAGUUACCUAACUCAGGUAACUAUUUUCAGAAGUAGUUUCAGGAAAGGAUUUUCAUUGUGUUCUAUAUAUCUAUAUGAUUCUAAAUACCACGUCAUCAAUUUAAAACAAAGCUUUAAGUCUCAUGGAUAUGGCCAAAAGAAGUACAUGAUUCAGAAAAGGCAUUAGGUUGCACUAGAACUUUCUUUAGCCUUGGAGUAUUCUACUAGAGAACAAAUAUAUAGAAUACUUGCAAAGUUAAUGUCUGGGGAUUCUGUUUUCCCCCUCUGUAAUAGUCCUAACUGUAUUUACACCAUAAGGCAGCAUUAGAUUUUUGGCUAAUUGCUGAAUUAGAUAAAUCUGGUGGCUUACGGCUUUCUUCUAUUUUCUUCUCUCACUAUUGGAUGUUUGGCUUUUAACGUUCUGGACAAUCACCUGUACUUCCCACUUUUCUUUGCCAAUUGGCACCAGCACAUUCAAAGUUAAAUUUAAUGCAAAGACAUCAUCUGGCACAUUUCUCUAAUCUCAAAAAGGUAAAUUCCCAAACCUCAGUUGAAGUAUUUCUAUUUUAGCCUGAAUUUUCAAGAUAAUUGCCUCCUCAUGUCUCCACUUAAUUUGGCUUGUGCAGAUACAAUCACAUGAACAAAUACAUGUUAAUGGAAAGCCUUCUUAGCUGUCAGUGAGUUGGACAUCCAUUGGGGAUGGUAUAUGGGAGCUCUGGAAUUUAUAAUCCUUUCCACUCUGCCAUUAAUUAAAAGUGCCCCAGAGACAGAUUGGGAGUGACCCAGGGUGAAGGGGUUGAAGGUUAAGCCUUUUAGCUUUGAGCCUCCAGUUUGAAUCUGAUCUAAGCUGGUAAUAAAUAAGAGCUACUGCUAUUUGAUAUCAGUUUGGUGAAUCAUGUGAAAUGAAUUAGUAAUCUCAGGCUUGUUCUGGUGGACAGGUGUCCUCAUACAGUGGGAGCUGAUAGCCUUUGCUGAAGAACCCAACAACCUGAAAAAGAUGGAAAUAAAAUGGCUUCACAAAUAUUCUCUUACCUUGCUAAGAUUGCUGUUCAGUAACAUGGAAAAGUAAGAAACCUUAGGAUUCCAUAUGCCCAGCUUGUAAAUGGCUAUGGGAAUAAAAGGGAUCAGGAUGGGCUUAAUAAGACCCAGAGAGUGGGUCAAAUGGGAAUCAGGUGGUGGGUCUAAGAGAAAUUUAAUAUCCUUGGCUUCUCAUUUUUUCCCCCUUUCUGUUUGGUUGUCAUGGGAAUCUGUAUUUGUGGAAGAAAUACUGACUGCAUUUGCCCAGGGCAGAUGUAUGUACCCUCUAGCCUUCAAAUUUAGCAUUACUAGGACAGAAGGAUUUGUGGCUGGAUAGAAUGAAGGAGAGUCAUACCGGUAAUUCUGGCAGGCAAAAUAAAACAUUGCAAGCAUUAAAAAAAAUUUUUUUUUCCAAAAGAUAUCAUGUACUGAAUUGAAAUAAGAUCAAAACUUGUUUUACUAAACUGAGGAAGGCUAUUUAGAGCUUAGUUUAACUCAAAUUUUGUUAUUAGGAUUAAUCCAGUAGUACUUUCACCCAUGUUUUAAAUGUAUAUUGAGGAAGAACUGCAUUUUUUUUUUUAAUAAUAGAAAAAAAAAAUGGGGAAGCCCUGAGGAAUUAAGUGGAGGAAAAAGACAUCCAACCUUCAAUGUACUUAACUUUAUUUUUCUUUUUGUGAAAGAAAAUAUGAAUCAUUAAUAUCAACUACAUCUUGCUGGUUUUAGUAAGCUUCAACAGGCAAAAUGUACUAGUUCUUUCUGAAUCAGGUUUGUGAAGUUAUUUGUGCAUGUGUGUAUGUGGGUAUGUGAAGUACCAGCUUUGUGCAUAUACAAUAGUGCUAAAGAAAUCAUAAUGUUUUCCUUAGCACUUUUUAUCUGACAGAGUCUUUGAAAAUAAAUUCAUCAGAUUGUGGUGAGUAAUACCUUUGGCUAAGGUCUAAACACUACAAACAUGAUGAACCUAUGAAUAUGUUUUCUUGAUUUUCUUCUUUAAAAUGUCUUAACUUGCUAUUGUUCCUCUUUGUAACUCAUCCCAAACCAAGUAAUUCCAUUUUGUUUCUGUUUGUUUAGUGAUUACAUCAUGUUGCCAUUAUAAAAGAGUCCCAUUACCUGAGUCUGGAACUUUUAAAAACUCCUUUUUCCGUCUCUUCAUCCCCCCAUCCUGGCAAACUGCUCUUUCAUUUCCUGCCAGGUAGAUAAUCUAAUAAAUGCUUUCACAUCAAAGGUUAAUGCCUGAUUAUGGAUUAAAUAUGAAAGCUGAGCCACAAUGAAUAGUCUGUAUUUGUUUCUGACAUAGAAUAGUAGUUUCUUCAUAUGGUUCCGCCUAUGACUCCUUAAUUUGCAUUUAAGAACAAAACUGCAUUGGUUUCUCAUGGUAACAUUAGGGGAUUAGAGUCAUGGCAGUCAGUGACAACAAUAGUUUGGGGAAUAGAAAUCCUUUACUGAGAGUUCCCAUCAUGGCUCAGUGGAAGGGAACCCAACUAGUAUCCUUGAGGACCCGGGUUCGAUCCACGGCCUUGCUCAGUGGGUUAAGGAUCCAGCCUUGGUUGCCAUGAGCUGUGGUGUGAGUCACAGACGUGGCUGUGGCAUAAGCCAGGAGCUACAGCACCGAUUCAACCCCUAUCCUGGGAACUUCCAUAGACUGAGAGUUCAGCCCUAAAAAGACACACACACACAC
rnacentral:lncRNA from 1 species